AGAGUUUGAUCCUGGCUCAGGACGAACGCUGGCGGCGUGCCUCAUACAUGCAAGUCGAGCGAGCUUGCCUAGAUGAUUUUGGUGCUUGCACUAAAUGAAACUAGAUACAAGCGAGCGGCGGACGGGUGAGUAACACGUGGGUAACCUGCCCAAGAGACUGGGAUAACACCUGGAAACAGAUGCUAAUACCGGAUAACAACGCUAGACGCAUGUCUAGAGUUUGAAAGAUGGUUCUGCUAUCACUCUUGGAUGGACCUGCGGUGCAUUAGCUAGUUGGUAAGGUAACGGCUUACCAAGGCAAUGAUGCAUAGCCGAGUUGAGAGACUGAUCGGCCACAUUGGGACUGAGACACGGCCCAAACUCCUACGGGAGGCAGCAGUAGGGAAUCUUCCACAAUGGACGAAAGUCUGAUGGAGCAACGCCGCGUGAGUGAAGAAGGGUUUCGGCUCGUAAAGCUCUGUUGGUAGUGAAGAAAGAUAGAGGUAGUAACUGGCUCUUUAUUUGACGGUAAUUACUUAGAAAGUCACGGCUAACUACGUGCCAGCAGCCGCGGUAAUACGUAGGUGGCAAGCGUUGUCCGGAUUUAUUGGGCGUAAAGCGAGUGCAGGCGGUUCAAUAAGUCUGAUGUGAAAGCCUUCGGCUCAACCGGAGAAUUGCAUCAGAAACUGUUGAACUUGAGUGCAGAAGAGGAGAGUGGAACUCCAUGUGUAGCGGUGGAAUGCGUAGAUAUAUGGAAGAACACCAGUGGCGAAGGCGGCUCUCUGGUCUGCAACUGACGCUGAGGCUCGAAAGCAUGGGUAGCGAACAGGAUUAGAUACCCUGGUAGUCCAUGCCGUAAACGAUGAGUGCUAAGUGUUGGGAGGUUUCCGCCUCUCAGUGCUGCAGCU
rnacentral:rRNA from 1 species